AAGGGAGACCUAAUUCGGGUAGAAGACGAAAAAAUAGUAGUCGAAACCAAGAAUCAAUCCCAAAAGGUCGGAACGAGGUAUGUGGCUUUCAAACUAGGUUCUGGGUUCACAAAAGACCUGAAUCAGGAACAAGGGCUAUUAGCUCAGGUGGUUAGAGCGCACCCCUGAUAAGGGUGAGGCCCCUGGUUCGAGUCCAGGAUGGCCCACCUGCACAGGUGGCAAAAACAAGAGAAACGAGGAAUCAGCACCUUAUCUUACUUACAUAGUAAGAGAGAAUGCUGGCUCUGAGUAAAGAGUCCAGAGGAACCUUGAAAACUGCAUAGAGCUAGGUGAAAAAGCCAGAAAAGAAGACCGCAA
rnacentral:tRNA from 1 species